GACGAACGCUGGCGGCGUGCCUAACACAUGCAAGUCGAACGGAAAGGCCCUGCUUUUGUGGGGUGCUCGAGUGGCGAACGGGUGAGUAACACGUGAGUAACCUGCCCCUGACUUUGGGAUAACUUCAGGAAACUGGGGCUAAUACCGGAUAGGAGCUCUUGCUGCAUGGUGGGGGUUGGAAAGUUUCGGCGGUUGGGGAUGGACUCGCGGCUUAUCAGCUUGUUGGUGGGGUAGUGGCUUACCAAGGCUUUGACGGGUAGCCGGCCUGGGAGGGUGACCGGCCACAUUGGGACUGAGAUACGGCCCAGACUCCUACGGGAGGCAACGGUGGAGAAUAUUGCACAGUGGGCGGAAGCCUGAUGCAGCAACGCCGCGUGCGGGAUGACGGCCUUCGGGUUGUGAACCGCUUUCGCCUGUGACGAAGCGUGAGUGACGGUAAUGGGUAAAGAAGCACCGGCUAACUACGUG
rnacentral:rRNA from 1 species